CAUUCGAGUGGCGGACGGGUGAGUAACGCGUGGGUAACCUGCCUUACACAGGGGGAUAACACCUGGAAACAGGCGCUAAUACCGCAUAAGCGCACGGGGCCGCAUGGCCCGGUGUGAAAAACUCCGGUGGUGUAAGAUGGACCCGCGUCUGAUUAGCUUGUUGGCGGGGUAGGGGCCCACCAAGGCGACGAUCAGUAGCCGGCCUGAGAGGGUGGACGGCCACAUUGGGACUGAGACACGGCCCAAACUCCUACGGGAGGCAGCAG
rnacentral:rRNA from 1 species